GAUGAACGCUGGCGGCGUGCUUAACACAUGCAAGUCGAACGGAAAGGCCCCUGCUUGCCGGGGUACUCGAGUGGCGAACGGGUGAGUAACACGUGGGUGAUCUGCCCUGCACUUCGGGAUAAGCCUGGGAAACUGGGUCUAAUACCGGAUAGGACCACAUUUUGGAUGGUGUGGUGGAAAGUUUUUCGGUGUGGGAUGAGCUCGCGGCCUAUCAGCUUGUUGGUGGGGUAAUGGCCUACCAAGGCGUCGACGGGUAGCCGGCCUGAGAGGGUGUACGGCCACAUUGGGACUGAGAUACGGCCCAGACUCCUACGGGAGGCAGCAGUGGGGAAUAUUGCACAAUGGGCGCAAGCCUGAUGCAGCGACGCCGCGUGGGGGAUGACGGCCUUCGGGUUGUAAACUCCUUUCGCUAGGGACGAAGCGCAAGUGACGGUACCUGGAGAAGAAGCACCGGCUAACUACGUG
rnacentral:rRNA from 1 species